rnacentral:lncRNA from 1 species
ACCAAUCAAAGACCCCCAGAGGGCGGGUUUUCUUGGGCUUGGAUCCUAGCUGGGGUGGGGGCGGUAAAAUAAAGUGUUUCCACCUCCAGCCAAUCCCAGGGAAGACAGGACGGCACUCCUCCAAUAGGAUCCUGGAGCCGUCGGUAGCAGUGGCGGCCUGAGACCACCCCUAGCGCUCUGGCAGGCGGGAGGGACGCAUCCGGUGCAUUCGCGAGAUCCAGUUGCCGGCACCUGGAAUCUGCUUGCGCGAGGCAGUGGCGGCACCGACGGCCCGAGGUUCCCGGUCACCAGGUUGCGGAGGAUCGUGCGGGUAGCAAAAGGAAGGCGAGUGCUCCUGCGGCCCCAGACAGCAACCAGAACACUCCAGUUCCCCAAAACUGCCUUCACCCACCAUCAACAACUAAUAACGUAGACUGUCCCUUCCCAGGCCCCAGCAUCUGUAAGGAAACUAGACUGUUCCGUUAGUCCUCAAUAUGCCUCAAUGUCAUCUGAGAGCAGGAAGUCUCAACUCAUCAGACCCAAUGUACCUUCUACUUUCCUGAAAUGAAAUCUGCUACUAAUGGAACCCAUCUACACAGUUCUUAAAAAUCAAGAUAAUGCACUAACUACAACAUAAAAGGAAUAUAUCAAAUGAUUUUCUGCAUCAAUUGAACUAAUCUUAUGGUUAAUUCAAUUGAUGCAGAAAAAUCUAAAGGCUUUUGUCCUUUAGACCAUUUAUAUGGUAAUGUUUGAUGUUCCUGGGAUAAACUCUAUCUGGUAAUAAUUAAUCUAUAUUUUUGAAUACACUGUUAAUGUCUGUUAGCUAACAUUUUGUUGGGGAUUUUCAUUUCAUAAAUGAAACAGCCCUAGAAUUUUCUUUUCAUGGAUUCUUACCUAGUUUUUCAAUCUAGGUUG